AUUGUUCUCAACUUCUUGUGAUGUAUCUUGAUCAUGAAGAUCUGAAUCCUCUUGGUUUUGCUCUUGCUCACCAGAUUCAGUUCCAUUCCCCCUCUCAUGAUCAAGAGGAGUUGUUCUUACAGCUCCACCACUCUGAUUGGAAGACUCUCUCCUUCCAGUUUCCUGAUCCUGGGAUAAUCCUAUCCCAAGCUUCUCUAACAACACUCUCAGUAUUGUUGCCUUAUCAGAUGGAGCUU
rnacentral:lncRNA from 1 species